GAGUUUGAUCCUGGCUCAGGAUGAACGCUGGCGGCGUGCCUAAUACAUGCAAGUCGAGCGAACGGACGAGAAGCUUGCUUCUCUGAUGUUAGCGGCGGACGGGUGAGUAACACGUGGAUAACCUACCUAUAAGACUGGGAUAACUUCGGGAAACCGGAGCUAAUGCCGGAUAAUAUUUUGAACCGCAUGGUUCAAAAGUGAAAGACGGUCUUGCUGUCACUUAUAGAUGGAUCCGCGCUGCAUUAGCUAGUUGGUAAGGUAACGGCUUACCAAGGCAACGAUGCAUAGCCGACCUGAGAGGGUAAUCGGCCACACUGGAACUGAGACACGGUCCAGACUCCUACGGGAGGCAGCAGUAGGGAAUCUUCCGCAAUGGGCGAAAGCCUGACGGAGCAACGCCGCGUGAGUGAUGAAGGUCUUCGGAUCGUAAAACUCUGUUAUUAGGGAAGAACAUAUGUGUAAGUAACUGUGCACAUCUUGACGGUACCUAAUCAGAAAGCCACGGCUAACUACGUCG
rnacentral:rRNA from 1 species